UUAAAUAUUUAAUGCGGGCAAAAUUCACAUUGUUAACUAAAUUAUUCGUUAUGAACCUAAUACUUCAACUCGAUAAAAAAUCUGUAUGCCUUUGUUAAUCUCUUUUAAAGGUCUCAAGUAUUAAAUUAGGGCUUUUCUCAUGUUUUUGUAUCUAUCGGAAAGAGGUGCUAAAAUUUUUUUAAACAGAGCUUAGGUUUGUGGCUGUAGAAUUUUUUUGGUGAUUUACUUGUAGAGUUACUUGCUUGCGAAAAGGUUCUAGUUAGUGUUCAUGUUCACUUACAUUGUAUGACAUAUCCUUAUAGCAUGUAAGGUGCACAUAAAUCAUGUACAUGUCCCUAAUGCAGUGUGAUCCUCUCUUUUAAAGUAAUUAAGUUAUGGCAACUUCUUCUAACCAACCUAUUGAAGAUGCUCGUGAAGGUUUGGGUGCCUCUUUUUUCCAAACUCGUUCACUUGAAGGAGUUGUAGAACAUAUCUCGAAUUAGUAUUUUUCCAAAUUGGCGAGUCUAAAGUGGGAAAUCAUCAGCAUGUAAGAGGUUGUUCACAUCCUCAUAUGAAUCAUGACACUUAAUCUAUGAAUUCUCCUUUUCAUGAAAUGGCAGAAUUUUUCCAACACAUGGAUGAAUCGAUGUUUCAUCCCAAUGGGAUUAACUUUGAUAAAAUCAGGAAAAUGGGUGGAGUGGAGUUUAAAGGAAGUGUUGAUCCCACUGAUUUUUAACAAUGGCUAGAUGCAUGGAUAGGGUGUUUGAGCAGUUGUAGUGUUCAGAUGUGAAAUUGAAGUAUGUGAUUUCUUUAUUAUAAAAAGAUACUUAUGAUGUAUGGGUAAAUGUUCUGAAUACAAGGGUAAAACCUCCUUUUCUCACUUAGUAUGCUAUUCUUAAGGAAUUUCCAAUGAAAUAUGUACCACCGACUUAUUGUGAUGCAAAGAAAAAAGAGAUUUUGAAUCUAAGGAAAAGAGGUAUGUCUAUUGCUGAUGUGAACAAAAGUUUCUAAGGCUGUCUGAUUAUGCUAGGGGUAUUAUUAAAGAGGAAAUUGAUUAGUGCAAGAAAUUUGAAGAUGGUUGAAAUUAUUCUAUUAGGAAGAAUGUUGUGAUCCUACAACAUGAGAAUUUUUUUAAGUUGGUGUCUGCUGCUUUUACCUGGCAAUGACUUUAUAAUGAAGAUUAUAGUAGAAAUGAAAACAGAAUUCGAAAGCAUAGACCAAAUUUAGGAGGUCCAUCAAAAAGGGGUAGAUUUGAUAAUUCUAAGGCCAGUAGUGAAAAUAGGCCAACACAACAAAAGAAAAACAGAUCAAAUUUUUCUACAACUAGCACUGCAAAUUAUGUUCAAGAGAAGCCUCACAUUUGCACUUGUCCACAAUUCGCAAAGAAUCAUUAUGGUACUUAUAGGAGAGCCUCUGCUGCAUGUUUUAAUUUUGGGAGUUUUGAUCAUAGAGUUAAGGACUAUCCUAAUCCAAAUAAUGCUCCUUCCUUGAAUGGUGAAGAUUUGGUUUAUAAGCCUUGUGUUAAUCCUCCUUAAACUAAUAAAUGUGCAAGGCCUAGAAACACCCAAGCUGAAGGUGCAAAUGGAGCUAAUAAGGCUGGUGGACAAAGGGGUACUCAACACGCUUAUGAUAUGAGGCGGAGGGAUGAUCAAUAGAGACAAUACGUGGUUGUCACUAAAUUUCACUAUUUGUCUUCUGUGAUGUUUACAUUGUUGAUCCUGAUUCUACACAUUCCUAUAUUUGUUAAUAUCUUGUUUUUACUGAAAUUUGUGAGAUCCACAAGACUUAAUUAUGAUUUGUUGGUUGAAAGUCCAUUUGGUUAUCAGGUUAUGUCUAAUCGAAUUCAUUGUGAUUGUACCUUCAAUAUUCAAAAUCUUGUCUUCCCUGCUCAGUUUAUUGAAUGCCCUUCAUGGAUUUUGAUGUUAUUAUAGGGAUGGACUGAGUUUAUAAAUUUCAUGCAGUCGUUGAUUUUAGGUCAAAAUAUGUGACAUUUAAAGAUACUAUAUGUACACAUCAUUGUAAAAGGUGAUAGAUUAUUGAAAUCUAGUAUUAUUUCUGCGUCCUUAGCAAGAAUAUUGAAGCGUCCAGUUUGUAGGGCAUACCUUGCUCACAUAGUUGAUACCUAUUGAAGAUUCCUUAGAUCAAGAACUUUUUGAGAAGGUUUUAUUCGACCUAGUAUUUCUCCUUAGGGAUCCCCUAUUUUAUUUGUUAAGAAGAAAUAUGGGACUUUUAGGUUUUAUACAGACUAUAGGCAAUUGAAUAGAAUAACAAUAAUGAAUCGAUAUCCACUGCCAAGGAUUGAUGAUUUGUUUACCAAAUUGAAGUGUGCUAAAAUAUUCUUAAAUAUCAAUUUAAAAUCUCGUUAUCACCAACUACGUGUUAGAGAGAAUGAUAUUCCUAAAACAUCUUUUAGAACUCGGUAUGGUCAUCCUGAAUUUUUGGUGAUGCAAUUUGGAUUGACAAAUGCACCUGUAAUAUUUAUGGAUCUAACAAAUUGAGUAUUCAAGCCUUAUCUUGAUCAGUUUGUGUUUUUUUUUGUAGAUGAUAUUUUAAUAUAUUCAUGAAGUAGUGACGACCAUGAUAAGCACCUCCGGAUUAUUUUGAAGAUUUUUAAAGAAAAAGAACUUUAUGCUAAACUUUCUAAGUGACAAUUUUUGCAUGAUGAGGUGUCAUUUCUGGGACAAGUUGUAUCAAGUGACGGUGUGAAGGUGGAUUCUAGUAUGAUACAAGAUGUUUUUAAAUGGAGACCUCAAAAAAGUACGAUUAAGGUAACUAUAGCACCUUAGAAACAAGAGAAUCUCUUGAGUAAAGGUACUUUGGAUGCAACAUUCUGGAAAAGCAGCUACUUGGGAGAGAGAAGAAGACAUGAGGAAACAAUAUCAACACUUGUUUCGGGACUAGUCUAAGGUUAUAAAGUCAAGUUUUGUUGUUUUCUCUUUCAAAUCUUCAUUGUGACACGAGACAUUAAGCUGGACAGAAAUAUGCAUUGGGAGCAAUAGUUGUAUUAGUAAAGGCUAAGCAUACUUUAUGAUGGUUAUACCGUUUUACUUUUAGAUUUUUGAGAUACUAGUAAUUCAAAAAGUUAUUUAAUUGCAUUUUUAAGGUUGUAUAUACUUGUGAACAAGUUGAGUACCUUCAUACGUUGGUUGGUCUACGAAUUGAACUCUUGAAGUCAUGUUCGACUGUUUCUUUGCUACACUAUUGAAGUGUCUGUAUAAACUUGUACUUGUACUAAUCUGACCUAAUGGUAUAUCUGAAUGUUUAU